rnacentral:tRNA from 4 species
GGCGGCGUAGCUCAGACGGUUAGAGCGGGGGUUUCAUAAGCCCUAGGUCAGUGGUUCGAGUCCACUCGCCGCUACCA